UACGUAGGGGGCAAGCGUUGUCCGGAAUCAUUGGGCGUAAAGCGCGUGUAGGCGGCCAGGUAAGUCCGUUCUGAAAGCCCGGGGCUCAACCCCGGGAGGCGGAUGGAUACUGCUUGGCUCGAGUCCGGAAGAGGUGAGUGGAAUUCCCGGUGUAGUGGUGAAAUGCGUAGAUAUCGGGAGGAACACCAGUGGCGAAGGCGACUACCUGGCCUGUUCUUGACGCUGAGGCGCGAAAGCUAGGGGAGCAAACGGG
rnacentral:rRNA from 1 species